rnacentral:rRNA from 1 species
UGUGGGAAGUUAGCAUAAUCAUUAGUCUUUUAAUUGAAGGCUUGUAUGAAUGGUUGGACAAAAAGUUAACUGUCUCAAUUAUAAAAAUUGAAUUUAACUUUUAAGUGAAAAGGCUUAAAUAUACUGAGGGGACGAUAAGACCCUAUAAAGCUUUACAAUAAAUUAAUUAAAUUAUAAAUUAUAAGUUUAACUUAAUUUAAUUAGUAUUUGUUUCGUUGGGGCGACGAGAAUAUAAUUAUAUAACUGUUCUUUUAUUGUUAUAACAAAUUUAAUUGGGUGAAAAUUGAUCCUUUUAUAAAGAUUAAAAGAUUAAGUUACUUUAGGGAUAACAGCGUAAUCUUCUUUGAGAGUCCAUAUCGACAAGAAGGGUUGCGACCCCGAUGUUGAAAUAAGGA